ensembl:lincRNA
AGAAGAUGGAUGAAGAGCAACACCAAAAGAGUUCAAAAUCACCUGAAAAGAAGCUAAAGACAGUUGAAUUCAAGAAAAAGAAAUGUGUUAGGUUUCUGUUACCCCAUAAAGCUGACAAGGAAAAGAAAUCCUCUUCCCUAGGAGAAACAGAGGAGUCAAAGUUCAGAUGUGAAUGCCAACACUGCCAGAUGUGUGAGGGGAACACAUCUGGGGUCUCUGUGGGACCUAGGACUGAAGCAGUCUCUCCGUCAUCCUCCUGGGAAAAUCUAACACUAGACCUCAGUAACUUGACACUCAACCCUCAUACCACCCAUCCCCAUCUUGUGCAAGACACCAUAUCCAAAGGAGAGAACAAAAUGCAGUGCCCAAGGAAAAACAAGAGGAUGUUUCAAAAGGUUCUCUACGAAUGGACAGAAUAACUCUGACACUGUCAUCGUCAUGAGAAGGAAGAUCCAAACCUACAGGACCAUGAGUAUCAACAUCUUUUGGGGAGCAACAUCAGGAGGAGUAAUGUCCAACCUGUUGAUAAUAAUACAGCUGGAUCGUGACUCGAAUCUAUUCCACAAAUGUAGCCAUCUUUUCCUUAGUAGUUUAGGCAUCUUCCCUUAGGCACUCUGGGAAGAGAUGUGGUUCUCAGUAAGGACGACCAAAUUGCAAUUUUUCUAUACUCCCCAUGUCAGUGUUCCCAUGGGAUUUGCUACCGAUUUUCCUCUCCUCGGGUUUGAGGUUUUCCUCCUUUACAUUGUUGCCAAUAAAGUUAAAACAUCUAU